ACAAAUAUCAUGUCCUACCUGCUUGUCCGUCAACAGCGUUGGGUAAGAACAGGAAUUGAGGAGUACUAAAAGAGGAAGAGCAUGGAAAGACCUGCAAUCAGAAAAGCUGGAUUUAAGUGAGGAAGAGUGAAAGAUAAACCUAACCCAAUGCAUCUACAGAAGCUACUCCUUGAAGAGUUUCACAACUCCUCGAGUUUUUCAUUCUUCCUUUCCUUGAAAUCAGUCUAAAGCUCCUAUCAAAACUGGCUGUGACUACUGAUACAGGUUUGUCUUUCCUCCCCAAGCUGACUGGCUCUGCACCAAUGCAACUCAGAGACAAUGAGAUCUGCUGCAUUCAAACAAUUCCUAACAGCUGAAACUCUUCACUGAACAUGGUUCACAGUUACACACACCAGUAUCACUUCUCCAGGCAGAAAACAUAUUAGAUAAGGGAUAGCAUUAUCAACAGCAAAAUGGAAAGAAGAUACAUCAGAUACCAGCA
rnacentral:lncRNA from 1 species